CCUACGGGGGGCAGCAGUGGGGAAUAUUGCACAAUGGGGGAAACCCUGAUGCAGCGACGCCGCGUGAGUGAAGAAGUAAUUCGUUAUGUAAAGCUCUAUCAGCAGGGAAGAAAAUGACGGUACCUGAGUAAGACGCCCCGGCUAACUACGUGCCAGCAGCCGCGGUAAUACGUAGGGGGCAAGCGUUAUCCGGAUUUACUGGGUGUAACGGGAGAGUAGACGGCAGUGCAAGUCUGGAGUGAAAGGCGGGGGCUCAAACCCCGGACUGCUCUGGAAACUGUACGGCUGGAGUGCAGGAGAGGUAAGUGGAAUUCCUAGUGUAGCGGUGAAAUGCGUAGAUAUUAGGAGGAACGCCAGUGGCGAAGGCGGCUUACUGGACUGGAACUGACGUUGAGGCUCGAAAGCGUGGGUAGCAAACAGGAUUAGAUACCCGGGUAGUC
rnacentral:rRNA from 1 species